GUCUAUUAUUGUUGUCUCUAAUUGCAUCUGGUUUUUAAUUUCCCAACUAUUUUGGGUUCAUUUUAAGCUAGCCAUAUAGCAAUUUUUAAAUAAUAGUUGGUUAAUUGAUGUAUCCCGGGUUAACCUAUGCUACCAGCAAAGAGAAAAAAGUUAAGAAAAGGAAAAAAAAUCUAGAAGAAAAAGAGAUUCAUCCAAUCACUGAUCGUGCUGCAGUGAGAGACACCCCUAAGAGCCAAUAGUAGCGGCGCAUUCAUAAGUCCCGCCCACUGGUCGCGCCGGCGCUGCUUUCAGCGUGUCGUGAGCAGAUGAGAGAGAGAGUCAGAGCAGAUCAGCACAGACGGACCAGACAGUUUCUCCAGAAAAUCCACUGAUCUAACUGGAAAUGUGAUUGAGUGCACUAAAAGUGGAGCUUUUGAAGUCGAUGCGUCAGCCUGAAGUGUUGUCGCCGGAGACAGAGAAGAGAGACGGAGCGGAUCCCAGCGUGUUGAAGCACUACCCAAAGGAAAAGGACAUGGACAAGACAAAUGAAUGACUGUUGAUGAGUAUCAAGCACAACCUCAACAGAGACUCAAAAGAGGCUGAAAUAAUGGAGGAAAACGGAAAAAUUGAGAAAUGACAACAAAAAUAGCUACCAAAUCUGAUAAAUGAAGUGAAGAUGGCCCUGAAGUCUCUGUUUGUCAGCAUCAGUCACGUAACUUGGAUGAUGGGACAGGAUUUGCCACAGAGUAAUUACAGAGCCCUUCCAAAAGAACAGGAGCAACGUUGCAGAAAGUGUCCUCAUGUGGUGUCUACCAGCAUUGGUACAGCAAAUAAUGCCAAACUUACUGAAAUUAGAGGGAAGAAUACACAAAAAUAUCUGAAAAUCUUAAAGGUGAUAAAGAGGAUCUUUUCGUCGACUGAGAAACCAAAGACUGUUACUGAGUUUUUGAAAUGAGCGCAUGCGUAAGAACAACCCCCCUCCUUUCGA